rnacentral:rRNA from 1 species
UAGAGCAGCCAUGCCAGACUGACUGUACAAGCUCAGAGCCUAGCCAGUACACGGAUGGGAGACCACCUGGAAACCCAGGUGCUGCCAAU